UUCGCCCUUAGAGUUUGAUCCUGGCUCAGAACGAACGCUGGCGGCAUGCCUAACACAUGCAAGUCGAACGAAGGCUUCGGCCUUAGUGGCGCACGGGUGCGUAACGCGUGGGAAUCUGCCCUUAGGUUCGGAAUAACAGCUGGAAACGGCUGCUAAUACCGGAUGAUAUCGCGAGAUCAAAGAUUUAUCGCCUGAGGAUGAGCCCGCGUUGGAUUAGGUAGUUGGUGGGGUAAAGGCCUACCAAGCCGACGAUCCAUAGCUGGUCUGAGAGGAUGAUCAGCCACACUGGGACUGAGACACGGCCCAGACUCCUACGGGAGGCAG
rnacentral:rRNA from 1 species